CUGGAUGUUAAGGUAAGUUUCCUGCUUUCCUUCGCUCCCCCGAAGUUCUGUGAUGGGGCAGACUUGGUGACCCAUCACAGCCUGAAUUAAAUGAACAUUAUUUUGGAACCGAGAGUAAAUAUCUCUAUCAGCUCUUCCAAGUUUGACCAAUACGGCUACAACCAGGAUACCUGACACACGGAAGAUAUCAAGUUACAGCCAUUUUUUUAAAAUGAAAUCUUCAUAUUUUCCCAAGCGGGAAGCAACUGUGACCACCUGAAACCUGAGAUCCUGCUCCUGCCUUUGAUUCAAGGUGAUUUUUACUGGAGGAAGGGGGUGCACAGAGGAAGGAUAAUGUAGAAAUCAGCAUAACAAAAAUUGCUGGAAGGACGUAGGAACCACAAGAAUACAAGGAAUUGAAAGGCGACAGAAAAAGGCAGUUUUUCCCUCCUGUUAAACUUAAAA